rnacentral:rRNA from 1 species
UACAGAGGGGGCAAGCGUUAUUCGGAAUUAUUGGGCGUAAAGGGCGCGUAGGCGGCUUGGCAAGUGGAAGGUGAAAUCCCUCGGCUUAACCGAGGAACUGCCCUCCAAACUGCUUGGCUUGAGACCGGGAGAGGUGAGUGGAAUUCCCAGUGUAGCGGUGAAAUGCGUAGAUAUUGGGGAGGAACACCAGUGGCGAAGGCGGCUCACUGGACCGGUACUGACGCUGAUGCGCGAAAGCGUGGGGAGCAAACGGG